GCUCAGUCCUUUGGAUGUUAAUCCAAGUGGACCAGUGCACCUAAAUAAUAAAUAUCCUCCUCAAUCCCUUGGUCUCUCUGAUUCCUUAUAUAUCCCGAUACAUUUCUGGGGGCUCAUCAGGAUUGGAGAUGACAGAUUUACUGUCCCCUUUGCCUGCGAUACUAGGUCCCCGGGGCCAGGAGAGACCCGGCAUCCAAGGUGUGCCACAGCUGAGCUUCACCCGGAUAUAUAGACCAGCUCUCCCCACGUCCCAGCACCCUGCCUGGCAGCGCAAUGGAACCGAGGAUGGGGCUGCAGGACGAUACCAGCACUUCAGGAACUGUGAAUCUUGCUCCGCUGCCAAGGCUGGAGUGCACUGGUUCAAUCUCGGCUCACUGCAAACUCUGCCUCCCAAGUUCAAGUGAUUCUCCUGUGUCAGUUUCUUUAGGAAUACAGCACUCCAUAUUGUUACCAUAAUAAUGAAACGGAUUCCCAUGGCUACAGCGAUGAAGCAGCAGAAAAAAAAUGGAGAUGCUGUCAAAGAAAAAAGACACAGAUCAGAGAAAGAAGCAUAAAAGGUUUGGGUAUCUUUGUAUUUAAUAUAAAUAUUAGAGUUUUUUAAAUGAGAAGGUGGUAUUGAUCCUUUUUCUGCCUUAAUAAUUUUUUCCAGAACAGAACAUAAAUACCUCGCAAAUGAUCAAAAACUAGAGUACAACA
rnacentral:lncRNA from 1 species